GACGAACGCUGGCGGCGUGCCUAAUACAUGCAAGUCGAGCGCAGGAAAUCGACGGAACCCUUCGGGGGGAAGUCGACGGAAUGAGCGGCGGACGGGUGAGUAACACGUAAAGAACCUGCCCUCAGGUCUGGGAUAACCACGAGAAAUCGGGGCUAAUACCGGAUGGGUCAUCGGACCGCAUAGUCCGAGGAUGAAAGGCGCUUCGGCGUCGCCUGGGGAUGGCUUUGCGGUGCAUUAGCUAGUUGGUGGGGUAAUGGCCCACCAAGGCGAGGAGGCAUAGCCGACCUGAAGGGGGUGUGGGCCACACUAGGACUGAGACACGGCCCAGACUCGUACGGGAGGCAGCAGUAGGGAAUCUUCCACAAUGGACGAAAGUCUGAUGGAGCAACGCCGCGUGACCGAUGAAGGCCUUCGGGUCGUAAAGUUCUGUUGUAAGGGAAGAACAAGUGCCGCAGGCAAUGGCGGCACCUUGACGGUACCUUGCGAGAAAGCCACGGCUAACUACGUGCCAGCAGCCGCAGUAA
rnacentral:rRNA from 1 species